rnacentral:rRNA from 1 species
AGCGAACGCUGGCGGCAGGCCUAACACAUGCAAGUCGAACGGAUCCUUCGGGAUUAGUGGCGGACGGGUGAGUAACACGUGGGAACGUGCCCUUUGGUUCGGAACAACUCAGGGAAACUUGAGCUAAUACCGGAUGUGCCCUUCGGGGGAAGGAUUUAUCGCCAUUGGAGCGGCCCGCGUCUGAUUAGCUAGUUGGUGAGGUAAAGGCCCACCAAGGCGACGAUCAGUAGCUGGUCUGAGAGGAUGAUCAGCGACACUGGGACUGAGUCACGGCCCAGACGCCUACGGGAGGCAGCAGUGGGGAAUCUUACGCAAUGGGCGAAAGCCUGACGCAGCCAUGCCGCGUGAAUGAUGAAGGUCUUAGGAUUGUAAAAUUCUUUCGCCGGGGACGAUAAUGACGGUACCCGGAGAAGAAGCUCCGGCUAACUCCGUGCCAGCCGCCGCCGUAA